rnacentral:rRNA from 1 species
CACGUAGGGCGCAAGCGUUGUCCGGAAUUAUUGGGCGUAAAGAGCUCGUAGGCGGUCUGUUGCGUCUGCUGUGAAAACUCGGGGCUUAACCCCGAGCCUGCAGUGGAUACGGGCAGACUAGAGGUAGGUAGGGGAGAAUGGAAUUCCCGGUGUAGCGGUGAAAUGCGCAGAUAUCGGGAGGAACACCGGUGGCGAAGGCGGUUCUCUGGGCCUUACCUGACGCUGAGGAGCGAAAGCGUGGGGAGCAAACAGG